ensembl:lncRNA
CCGCAGCUGCACAGAGGUGUUGAUGUCGUGUGAAGGUAUCGCCACAACAUUAUGAAAAAUACAACUUUAUUUGAAGGAUACAACUUGAGAAACAAAAUGGUGUAAUCCUUCUGGAGCCAGAAGAAGUGUGAGCCAAGUCAAAAUGAAACACAAGAACAUUCUCCAGCAAGCCAAUAGAAAGAAGGCUGAGGCCCGUAAAACAGGUGGGGGUCCACCUCUACCUUCCCUCACCCCAGCUGAGGAGCUGGCACUGUCCCUUAAUAAAGGGCACCUGUGGUCGAUGGGAUUCCAGGGGGCAGUUCGUCAGACUCCGCUACCAAGACAAGUGGCUUAGUAAAAUGUAGGUGUACCAUAUUAAUACUUAUGAUUUAUUGAUGUUUUCACUGUUUUUGUCAGUGUUUUAAUAAAGAAAAUCAUCAACACUGUCACCAUUUUAAAAAGGCAAUU